rnacentral:rRNA from 1 species
GAUGAACGCUGGCGGCGUGCCUAAUACAUGCAAGUCGAGCGAACCACUUCGGUGGUGAGCGGCGAACGGGUGAGUAACACGUAGGUGAUCUGCCCAUCAGACGGGGACAACGAUUGGAAACGAUCGCUAAUACCGGAUAGGACGGAAGUUUGAAGGUGCUUCUGGCACCGCUGAUGGAUGAGCCUGCGGCGCAUUAGCUAGUUGGUAGGGUAAAGGCCUACCAAGGCGACGAUGCGUAGCCGACCUGAGAGGGUGAACGGCCACGCUGGGACUGAGACACGGCCCAGACUCCUACGGGAGGCAGCAGUAGGGAAUCUUCGGCAAUGGGCGAAAGCCUGACCGAGCAACGCCGCGUGAAUGAUGAAGGCCUUCGGGUUGUAAAAUUCUGUUAUAAGGGAAGAACGACUUUAGUAGGAAAUGGCUAGAGUGUGACGGUACCUUAUGAGAAAGCCACGGCUAACUACGUGCCAGCCGCCGCCGUAA